AAGUUGAAAAGAACUUUGAAGAGAGAGUUCAAAAGGGCGUGAAACCGCUUAGAAUAAAACGGACGGAGCCGUCUGUGGCCCGUCGGAAUCAGUCGAAUCGACGCGCGAAAGCGAGUACGACGCGUAAACGGAACGAAAGUCCGGUCGUCUCGUAGUAUAAAAAGUAGCGCUCGUUCGAUGCAUUUCCGAAGGGUAAGCGCCGCGACCGAUGUCUAAGGCUAGUGAAACUGGGGGAUUGAGGUUGAGCUCGUUCGCGAGUCUCGUUACCAGUCCUUCGGUUCGAAUAGAAUUCGCUAGACCCUGAUAUCGAGAAUAAGACAGCGAACGUCGGUGAAAUAUAUACGCUCACCGGUUACGACGGACGUACGGCCAUUCGAUCGUCGCCUGCUCGCAGGUUACGGUUAGUAAUCCGGUUCGUAUCCGAAGUCGUCGGUGACGUUUCGACGUUCGGGCGUCCGCGGCGUCCGAGUCGGUCACCCGUCCGACCCGUCUUGAAACACGGACCAAGGAGUCUAACGUAAGCGCGAGCUAAUGGGCGGAAAACCCAUAAGCGAAAUAAAAGUAAAAGCCGUUUCGGACGGCUGAGGUACGAUCCCGAAGAACGAAAGUAUCUACGGGCGCAGUACCGUCCCGUCCCGACCGCUUGUCGGUAGGGCGGAGAUAGAGUGCAUACGUUGGGACCCGAAAGAUGGUGAACUAUGCCUGAGCAGAGCGAAGCCAGAGGAAACUCUGGUGGAGGUUCGUAGCGGUUCUGACGUGCAAAUCGAUCGUCAGACUUGGGUAUAGGGGCGAAAGACUAAUCGAA
rnacentral:rRNA from 1 species